GUGUCAGCAGCCGCGGUAAUACGUAGGGUCCGAGCGUUAAUCGGAAUUACUGGGCGUAAAGCGUGCGCAGGCGGUUUUGUAAGCCAGAUGUGAAAUCCCCGAGCUUAACUUGGGAACUGCAUUUGGGACUGCAAAGCUGGAGUACGGCAGAGGGAGGUGGAAUUCCACGUGUAGCAGUGAAAUGCGUAGAGAUGUGGAGGAACACCGAUGGCGAAGGCAGCCUCCUGGGCUAGUACUGACGCUCAUGCACGAAAGCGUGGGGAGCAAACAGGAUUAGAUACCCUGGUAGUCC
rnacentral:rRNA from 1 species